UACGUAGGGUGCAAGCGUUGUCCGGAAUUAUUGGGCGUAAAGGGCUCGUAGGCGGUCCAUCGCGUCGGGAGUGAAAAGCUGGGGCUUAACCCCAGUCCUGCUUCCGAUACGGGUGGACUAGAGGUAGGCAGGGGAGAAGCGGGAAUUCCGUGGUGUAGCGGGUGAAAUGCGCAGAUAUCAGGAGGAACACCGGUGGCGAAGGCGGUUCUCUGGGCCUUACCUGACGCUGGAGGAGCGGAAAGCAUGGGGAGCAAACAGG
rnacentral:rRNA from 1 species